rnacentral:lncRNA from 1 species
UCCAGGCUGCGGUUCGCACUGCCUGAGGCUAAGUCCUAGCCCAAGUGGUUGCUGUCCUCUCCAUAUUUUUCAUCUUUAAAUGGGGCCAAGGAAGGGUUUCCCUGCUUUGGCUGUGAGGGGGAGGGAGGUCACCUAUGUGGCAUUUGCAGCAGUGGCCAGCACAUAGAAUGGACUCUUUAAAUGUCUGCUACUUUUUUUUUUAUCAAAUUAAAACUACUCAUAGGUGUGGAAAUGUUAGGCUGCACGGAGUAGCUCAUGAUGAAAAAGAGCAUUCCUCCCACACCCCUGCUGCUCCAACUCGCCUGCUGCUCCCUACAGUACCUUCACUCCUUUUACCUUUGUAUUUUAAUAUAAAAUCUUAUAUUGAUAUUUCUUCUUUUUUUUUUUUUAAUUUGCCUCAUAAAUUUUAUUCAUGAUGCAGGUCAGUUUCUUCCAUUCCCAGAGUACAUCUCUUAGUAACCUGGAAAGAUACAGGAAAUUCUCACAGCCUCCAGAGAUGGAAGGUGAGAGGAGAGGCUGGGGUCUGGGAAGACUCUGGCAGUCUCAGCCUUCCCAUCCAGGCCUCUCACCAGAGUAUAGCUGAUCCUCGCUAUCACCCCUCCCACCCAUUCAAUUCUGUGAUAAAGACAAGAAAAUCCAUUCCUAUUUAAAAAACAAAAUAGCCAGGACAUGAGAUUCUGACCACCAGUGGAGAAGGGAGGUAAAGGGAGCAGGUGCUGUCACUGCCUGCUCAGGGCUUGCUUCCUUACUGCAUCAUUCAGCCCCUGAUUAUCCCCUCAUCCGCUGGUACCUGCACAGAGCUGGUCAUAGGUGGUUCUGACUCAGUGUCUUUAGUAGUUACCAACUGAGUAGCCAGGUAACAUUUAAGUAGUUGUAUAAUUAAAUUGAUCAAUGGAUUGAACUUUAAUGUUAAGCUAAUAUGGGUUUCUUUUCCUGUUGAUGACAAAAGCAGCUUAAGGGAGGAAAGAAGGGUUAACUUUGCCUUCUGGUUCCAGGGUUAUAUAACAGCAAGAAUGUGAGGCAGCUAAUCACAUUGCCCCUAUAGUCAGGAAGAGAUGAAGAUAAGAUAGCUUGUGGGUCUCAGGGAUUGAAGUCCACUUCUCAGACCUGGUAACGAGCACCCUUACCCACUGAGGCAUCUUCAGUUUGGAACUGUUGCCCGUUGGAUGGUGCUGCUCCCAUUCAAGUCUGUCCUCCCCAGUUACUAAGCUUUCUGGAAGAACCUAGAGACAACAGGAAAGUAUAUCUCUGUUGUGGUCCUAAAUUUAGCCAGGUGACAGUGAAGAUUAACCAUCACAGUUAUGCAUACUAAGAGGUAAUCAAAGUCAUUUAGAUAGUAGGCCUAAUUUCAACGGAAGGAAAGGUGUUUUCUGAUGCUAAUCAAGAGCCUUCUAGCUCACAGAUCAGUUGAUGUGCUCCUGGAGUGACACAGUCCAAGUCCCUGAAGAAAAUUGAACUUAAAGCCAGCCAGUGAAGUCUGAAAGUAGUCUGUAGUUAUAGAAACUAUAGAGUAUAGAGGAGUUACAGGCUUAAUGCCCUCAUAAAGUCAGAAACAGAAGUCCAAAAUGAAGGAUAUAGCUCAAGACAACUGGCACAAUUUUGACUGUGAGCCCAGGGUGUAGGAGGGAAAUGAGGUAGUGGACAAAACGGUGCUGUGUAUAGAGAGACCCAAUGCAAUGUAAUAACCAUGUGUCUAUGGAGGCUUGUUCCAGACUUCAUUUGGCCAUACACGAGAUGGCUAAAGGCUGGUUCUUGAUGUGUCUUAAAUGCUAAUACUUCCUUUAUUUGGUGUACUGUUGGUGUGAAUGUGUAAGGAGGUUUCUUGGCUUCUUACUGACAUGUAUGGUUUGCUUGGUUUUUAUGGUGGUUGGCAUCAAACCCAGGGCCCUGUGCAUACUAGGUAAGUGAUCAGCCACUGAGCUAUUGUAUUAUAAAACUUGUUGAAAAGAGUAUGGACAUGCCUUAGUUAGGGUUUCAUUGCUGUGAAGAGACACUAGGACCAUGACAACUCUUAUAAAGGUCAACAGUUAGUUGGCCUGGCUUUUGGUCCAUUAUUAUCAUGGCAAGAAGCAUGGAGGUGCACAGGCAGACAUAGUGCUAGAGAAGUGGCUGAGAAGUCUACAUUCAGAUUGGCAGGCAACUGGAAAAGAGAGUGACACUGGGCCUGGCUUGAAUAUUUGAAACCUCCAACUUUCUCUAACACUUUCUCCAACAAGGCCAUACUUCUUAAUAGUGCCACUCCCUAUGAGCCUGCUAUAGGGGCCAUUUUCGUUCAAACCACCACAGGGAGCUUGUUAAAUUUUUUUUCUUUGCUUAUUUGAACAUUGUACAAAAUAAAAUUUUUUAUAGGUUUUUGUUUGUUUGGUUUUGGUUUUGCUUUGAAUCAGGGUUUCUCAGUAACUUAAGACUAUACAGUCUUUUCUCGAAUCCAGGAGUCCAUUUGUCUCUGCCUCUCUGAGAGCUGGGAUUAAAAGCUUGUGCCCCCAUGCCUGACUUUGUUUUUGUUUGUUUGUUUACAGGUUUUAAUGACAGGUUUAAAAUGUCAUCAUUCUUAAGAUACUCUUAGUCUUUCUAAGUGUACUAAUGAUAAUAGAAGUCAGGCUCUUAGCAGAAAGUAAAUGUUCUGGAUCUCUCUGGAAUCUAAUGCCCAUUCCUUUGCACACCCUUGAGUCUCUAGAGAGCUAAGACUCCCUCCUUUCAGUCAUGUGAGCACACAGGAGAGAAGUGAGGUGAGGGAAUGGAGUUCCUGGUUCCUCCUGGGCCCACUGUCACCUCUUCUCAUUGCUGGGGAAGAGCAGCAACUUAAGACGAUACAGUAACUGGAAGGGUUUUGCUAUCAUUCAGGAUCUGGCACAGGCAGAAGUCCCCAAAUCAGAGGCCUUUUUAAAGGAGGUGCUUUUCUUGUGCCACAAAGGAUUGGAAUACAAAGCUUCUUUUUGCCUGGAAUAUUGGAGUUCAAUUACUGUCCCCAUACAAGUAAAAUUCCUACAGCUUGGGGUGGCAUGUCUUUGGUGUCUGCAUAGCACAAUAUGUAUGACAAAUGGAAUGUCCUCUGCCAGAGAACCAGCUGUGUGUAGCUUGAAAAGCCUCACCUUGAAUCAUCUGUAUGUGCUCCUAGAAGGUGUGGCUUGUGACUUGCCCCAGAGGCUUCUGGAUUCAGUGCCAUCUUACCUUUUCUUU